AAAUAAAAAUUCGUUUCUUUCAACAAGAAACCGUUCAUAAAGAAGAGUAACAGGUUAGGAGGAGAAGAGAAGAAGAUAGAAAAUAUAAUAAACUAGAAAAGCAGCCACAAGUAUUCAAUCCUCCGUACACCAGUGUUUGAUAAAACUUUACUCCAACCGUGUAUUAUUACUCUUAUCCUACAGCAUCUAAUAGAAAAAUGAGGAGAAAGUGAAAGAAACAAUUUUCGGUUUGAGAGACGAACAAGGGACUCUUCUCACACUUUCUGUUUAUGAUUGGUCUAAUUGAAAUACUCUUCCAUUAAAUAUUAGGAAUAGGAUUUGCGUUCACGCUUAAAAUUGUGUUUACACUUAAAUCAAGACACCCAAGUUGAGAGAAUAGAUGUUGAUGCUCUCAUCUUCUCCUUUUCUGUUUCCAUGUACAAGUUCUACAUUUUUAUUUUGUUAAUGUUACAUUUUGUUUAUUCUACAGUAAAAAAAAAAAAAAAAGAGUGAAUUUUUUUUCCUAACACUUACUGUUGUGUAAAGAAUCUCUGAGCUGUAGAGAUGGCCGUAUAGCACAAUAG
rnacentral:sRNA from 1 species